GUAACUAGUACGGAUCGUCAUGUCGUCCGUUCGUGCCGACCAUUAUUUGCAUAAUAAUAAAUUGUAAUAACCCUUACUUAUUAAUUACCUACGUUUUACGUUUUCACAGUUCCUAAUUAUAUCUGGUUAUCACUCUGCUGCCUUACAAUUAGCAAUUUUUUUUCUAGCGAAAAUUAGUGUUUUGCGGGGUUUGAUUCGCGCUAUUUGUUCUGGUCCUAUGCUGUUGAAUUUGAAUUCAUACUCUCCUCACAAGAUUAAUCCGAAAAUAGGGGGUAAUUUCGAAAAACUUUCAAAA